ACGGAAGGCAGCAGUAGGGAAUAUUGCACAAUGGGGGAAACCCUGAUGCAGCAACGCCACGUGUGGGAAGACGCAUUUCGGUGUGUAAACCACUGUCGUGAGGGAAUAAGGCUACUUUUCGGAGUAGUUGAAUGUACCUCGAAAGGAAGCACCGGCAAACUUCGUGCCAGCAGCCGCGGUAAUACGAGGGGUGCAAGCGUUGUUCGGAAUCACUGGGCGUAAAGGGAGCGUAGGCGGAGAAGCAAGCGGUCUGUACAAGACCGGGGCCCAACCCCGGACCUGCAGACCGGACUGCUCCUCUUGGAUAGUUCAGGGGCAGGCGGAAUUCCUGGUGUAGCGGUGGAAUGCGUAGAGAUCAGGAAGAACACCGAUGGCGAAGGCAGCCUGCUGGGGACUCAUCGACGCUGAGGCUCGAAAGUGCGGGUAGCAAACAGGAUUAGAUACCCUGGUA
rnacentral:rRNA from 1 species